UGGGGAAUAUUGCACAAUGGGCGCAAGCCUGAUGCAGCCAUGCCGCGUGUAUGAAGAAGGCCUUCGGGUUGUAAAGCACUUUCAGUGGGGAGGAAGGCGGUGAGGUUAAUAACCUCACCGAUUGACGUUACCCGCAGAAGAAGCACCGGCUAACUCCGUGCCAGCAGCCGCGGUAAUACGGAGGGUGCAAGCGUUAAUCGGAAUUACUGGGCGUAAAGCGCACGCAGGCGGUCUGUCAAGUCGGAUGUGAAAUCCCCGGGCUCAACCUGGGAACUGCAUUCGAAACUGGCAGGCUAGAGUCUUGUAGAGGGGGGUAGAAUUCCAGGUGUAGCGGUGAAAUGCGUAGAGAUCUGGAGGAAUACCGGUGGCGAAGGCGGCCCCCUGGACAAAGACUGACGCUCAGGUGCGAAAGCGUGGGGAGCAAACAGG
rnacentral:rRNA from 1 species